rnacentral:rRNA from 1 species
AGCGAACGCUAGCGGCGGGCCUAACACAUGCAAGUCGAGCGGAGGGAGCAAUCCUUCAGCGGCGGACGGGUGAGUAACGCGUAGGUAAUGUACCUUCUGGUGGGGAAUAACCGUGGGAAACCAUGGCUAAUACCGCAUAUCGUCCUUACGGAUGAAAGCCUUCGGGCGCCAGAAGAGCAGCCUGCGUCCCAUUAUUUAGUCCUAGUUGGUGAGGUAACGGCUCACCAAGGGUACGAUGGGUAGCUGGUCUGAGAGGAUGAUCAGCCACACUGGAACUGAGACACGGUCCAGACUCCUACGGGAGGCAGCAGU